rnacentral:rRNA from 1 species
GAUGAACGCUGGCGGCGUGCCUAAUACAUGCAAGUCGAGAGAACAGACGAGGAGCUUGCUCCUCUGACGUUAGCGGCGGACGGGUGAGUAACACGUGGAUAACCUACCUAUAAGACUGGGAUAACUUCGGGAAACCGGAGCUAAUACCGGAUAAUAUAUUGAACCGCAUGGUUCAAUAGUGAAAGACGGUUUUGCUGUCACUUAUAGAUGGAUCCGCGCCGCAUUAGCUAGUUGGUAAGGUAACGGCUUACCAAGGCAACGAUGCAUAGCCGACCUGAGAGGGUGAGCGGCCACACUGGAACUGAGACACGGUCCAGACUCCUACGGGAGGCAGCAGUAGGGAAUCUUCCGCAAUGGGCGAAAGCCUGACGGAGCAACGCCGCGUGAGUGAUGAAGGUCUUCGGAUCGUAAAACUCUGUUAUUAGGGAAGAACAAAUGUGUAAGUAACUAUGCACGUCUUGACGGUACCUAAUCAGAAAGCCACGGCUAACUACGUGCCAGCCGCCGCGGUAA